GAUCCUGGCUACAGAACGAACGCUGGCAGCGUGGAUUAGGCAUGCAAGUCGAACGGGAUCGGGGAGGCAGCAAUGUCGCCCCGUGAGAGUGGCGGAAGGGCGAGGAACACGUGGGCAACCUGUCCAGAAGGUGGGGAAAACCUCGGGAAACUGAGGCUAAUACCGAAUGCGGCGCUCCAACGCAUGUUGGACGCGCCAAAGGGGGCCGAAAGGCUCUCCCUUCACGAGGGGCUCGCGCACCAUCAGCUAGUUGGCGGGGUAACGGCCCACCAAGGCGUACGGUUAGCUGGUCUGAGAGGAUGGCCAGCCGCACUGGGACUGAGAUACUGCCCAGACUCCUACGGGAGGCUGCAGUCGAGGAUCAUUCGCAAUGGGGGAAACCCUGACGAUGCGACGCUGCGUGGAGGAUGGAGGCCUUCGGGUCGUAAACUCCUGUCAUGACGGAAAGGGAGAGGGACCCAACACGUCCCUUAUUUGAUGGUACGUCAAGAGGAAGAGACGGCUAACUCUGUGCCAGCCGCCGC
rnacentral:rRNA from 1 species